GACCUCAAAUCAGGUAGGACUACCCGCUGAACUUAAGCAUAUCAAUAAGCGGAGGAAAAGAAACUAACAAGGAUUCCCCUAGUAACUGCGAGUGAAGAGGGAAAAGCUCAAAUUUAAAAUCUGGCAGCUUCGCUGUCC
rnacentral:rRNA from 3 species